rnacentral:rRNA from 1 species
GCGUCAUAGAGGGUGAGAAUCCCGUCUUUGACACGGACUACCAGUGCUUUGUGAUGCGCUCUCAAAGAGUCGAGUUGUUUGGGAAUGCAGCUCUAAAUGGGUGGUAAAUUCCAUCUAAAGCUAAAUAUUGGCGAGAGACCGAUAGCGAACAAGUACCGUGAGGGAAAGAUGAAAAGAACUUUGGAAAGAGAGUUAAACAGUACGUGAAAUUGUUGAAAGGGAAACGCUUGAAGUCAGUCGCGUUAGCUAGGAAUCAGCCUUGCUUUUGCUUGGUGUACUUCCUGGUUGACGGGUCAGCAUCAAUUUUGACCGGUGGAAAAAGGCCAGUUGAAUGUGGCACCUUCGGGUGUGUUAUAGCUUCUGGUCGUAUACAUCGGUUGGGAUUGAGGAACUCAGCACGCCGCAAGGUCGGGGUUCGCCCACGUUCGUGCUUAGGAUGCUGGCAUAAUGGCUUUAAUCGACCCGUCUUGAAACACGGACCAAGGAGUCUAACAUGCCUGCGAGUGUUUGGGUGGAAAACCCGAGCGCGUAAUGAAAGUGAAAGUUGAGAUCCCUGUCGUGGGGAGCAUCGACGCCCGGACCAGACCUUCUGUGACGGAUCCGCGGU